rnacentral:rRNA from 1 species
GUCUACGGCCAUGCCACCCUGAACAAGCCUGAUAUCUGAUCUUGGAAGCUAAGCAGAGUCGGGCCUGGUUAGUACUUGGAUGAGAGACCACCUAGGAAGACCAGGUGCUGUAGGCA